rnacentral:tRNA from 2 species
GGAAGGAUGGGUGAGUGGCUGAAACCAACGGUUUGCUAAACCGUCAUACUCUGUAAAGGGUAUCCCGGGUUCGAAUCCCGGUCCUUCCG